AAAAUAAUAGUAGUGCUACUAUUGCACAUAAUUAAAUGUUUCUAUUUUUUCGCGUUUUCUUCUUUGCCCUUUAUUCUCCUUAAUAUAAUGUUUUAUAGACAGAGUUCAAUAAAAAAAGUGCCGUUAUAACUGUAUACGUUAGCACGUGGAGUCGUUAUUUCAUUUACUUUCAAAUGUGUUGGCUAUUGAGUCGGUCAAAAUAAUAGUAGUGCAAGGAGUGAGCUUCCGAAAAAUUCAUAAAAAAUAUUUAUUUGUGUCCAAGAUUUACAAAAAGGUAAGAAAUGCAUUUUUUGAUGUAUUUUCAUAAAUUUUUGUGAUAAUCUGAUAAAGAUCGUUCAGCUAUGGGACAAGGAAAGCACUGCACCGCUGAACAGCGCAACCUUAUCAAAAAACUAAUUUCAAACGGGAAAACGUACAAAGAAGUUGAAGAAAUUAUCGGCUGUUCACCGACAAUGAUUUCAAACGCGUUAAAAUAUAAAUCCCAACAUGAAAUACGUGGACGGCCAUCCGCAAUGACCGCUAAAUUAGUCAAUCGUGUGGUUAGAUACUCGAAAAGUAACCCUUUCGCACCUGCAACUGAUAUCAAGAGUGACUUGCAGCUAGAAGCAAGCGUGGAAACUAUCCGUAGACGUUUGCGGGAACAGGACUUAGCAGCUCAUAGCCCAAGAAAAGUGCCAUUACUGACUAAGAAGCAUGUAGCGCAAAGGCUUAAUUUGCGAACGAUCACUUGGAAUGGCCCCUUAAGAAAUGGAGAAAUAUUUUGUGGACAGAUGAAUUCAAAAUCGUGCUGCAUGGUGCAAGAGGAUCUCGCCAAUAUGUCAGACGACCUGCUAGUUCCGAAUACAACCCGAAAUACACAACUAAAACUAUUAAACAGGGAGGGUCAAGUAUUAUGAUUUGGGCAUGUUUUUCAUUUUACGGUGUUGGACCGAUAUACUGGAUAAAAGAAAAGGAUGGAUCGUACUGUGUAUGUUCGGAUUAUGGAGGAAAUCAUGCUCCCUUUUGCCAGCGGAGAAAUGCCACUACUUUGGGUCUUCCAGCAGGACAAUGACCCAAAGCACACAAGCAAGUUGGCGCAGCAGUGGUUUCAGAGGAACAGGGUUGAGGUCAUGGAAUGGCCUGCACAGCCUCCAGACCUCAAUCCAAUAGAGAAUUUGUGGUGCGAUGUGAAAAAGGCAGUUUCUGUUGCUAAUCCAACAAAUAAUAAUCAGCUUUGGGAAACAGUAGAGCGGGCAUGGAAAUUGAUACCGAAGGAACAAUGUGAACAUCUCGUUACUUCAAUGCAUCGCCGAUGUGGAGCUGUAAUAUCGAACAAAAGAUACGCAACUAAAUAGUAAUUAUUUUAUAAUUAAUUUUCUUAUUAUCUUCAAUUUAAAUCAGAUGAAAAGAAAAACUAAUUGAAAUAUAUUUUUGUUAAAUAAAAUCACACUACUAUUUUUUUGACCGUCCAUGUGCAUAAGGUCGUAAGAAAUAAUUUUUUUAAAACGUUGUAAUGAAUUUUUUUCUAAGUUUUGUUUUAUGAUUUUAUUGUUAAGAGUGGUUGUUCCUUAAAAUAAAAACAACGAAAGUAUUUAAAUGAAAACAUUCUACUUAUUCUUCAUUUCUUUUUUAAUGUGUGGGCACUACUAUUAUUUUGACCGCAGCUGUACAUACAUACAUAUUAGUAUUAUGAAUAAGCAGCACAUUAUUACGAAGUAGAGAUAAGAAUUACAUAUAAACAUUUAAAAAAAUUAAUACCUUACAGCUCACCCUACAUUCCUAUUGGAAUCGCUGUCGAUUAUUUUAUAAAAAAUAUGACUUUUACGAAAAUAUAUUUUUAAAUAUUUCGUUCUUAAAAUAUUGAAAUAUUUUAUACACUCUUUAGUGUGCACAACAUAAACGGGCGGCUUUUCGCCGCAAAAUUAUUAAAAAAAAAUAAAGAAUUUUACAAAAAAAAAAAGCAGACUUACUCAUAUAUGUACAUAUAUCGAUAUACAUACAUAUGGUAAUGCAAUGUAUGGAGAAUACUCCGAGCGUUUGCUGUAGGGCAACGAUAUGAAUAAAAACGCAAAGCUUUUAAAAUAUUUAUUUCGACAACGACCGCCAGAGCUUGCAGAAGUGCCUCAAUUGUUUGCGUUUGCUUAAAACUGGAUUAGAAAAUUUUCACAAAAAAAUAUAUUCAAAAUGAAACUAACGAUUUUAUUAAUAUUUUGUUUAAUGCAAAUAUUUCUAAUUAAAGGCCAACACUCGUAUGAAGAAAGUGACGAGGAUUCGGUUGAAGUUUCUGAUAGCCAAAAGAAAAUUAUAUUAAAAGGAAAGCCGAUAAUAAAGGUAUCAAUAGAUCAUCGUGGAAAUAGGAUCGACAAGAAACUAAACGUCGAAAUAAUAACUACGACAGAAGGAAGUUGGAAGGAUUGGAUAAUCCGGCCCGUCAAAAUCUGGUUCCCACAGACGUAAUAAAAUAUAAAACUAAUAAAAAUAUCUGAAUCUUGUA